AACACGAUUUUAUGAAGUUCAUGCCCAGAACUCCCAGAGUGGAGGGCACAGGACCAGGGGGGUUCUUCACGACCAAAAUCUUGCAAUGAGGCAAGACCUUCCCACACAGUUUUGACGUCCAGUUCAGUUUCGCCUGAGGUGCGGGUUGGGCCUGGAGAAAACGCCUGCAGGGUCUCACCUUCAAGCUGCUGCCGAGAGAAGAAACGCUGCUGCAAUUAUUUCGGUUUCAAACGGCCAUAACUUGUAAAUAUUAUCCGCUACACGUUUUCUAGUGGACGUAGUGAGGCCACGUCUUUUAGAUUUUGUGUAAACGACGGAAAUGAUCAUCGUAAUUCUCUUUACAGCGAUCGUAGAUCGUGACUGUUUAACGUUAUGACAUGACGCUAGGACUCAGAUCUACGACCCAAUACUGCUGCAACAUGUUUGUUCUUUACAUUUUCUCUCUGAUUAUAACUGUACGAGUGACCACCGAGUUGUUUCACCACUUUUAACUUCCUGUAUGGGACCAGUUAAACCAGUAAGAUGCUUCCAUGUUGCUAAAACGUGAUUAUUAGAGCCAAAGCUUUUGGUCAGAAGCUUAAUAUGUCUUAUUUUAAAUACACUGAGCUCUGCUUUGUUAUAUUUACAGAUGUAAUACACCAAGACCAGUAGAACCAGUAGCAUGCUGGUUUUAUGUUGCCAUAAAGUGAUUAAAGCCAAUAUCUGUUUACUGAAAGCUUCUUUCUCCCUUAUUUUAAGUUCAUGGAGCUCUGCUGGAUUAUAAUAAUAGAUUUAAUGAGCAUCAUCAUCAUCAUCACUUUCCACACCUGUCUGAGACCAGUUAAACCAGUUUAAUGAGCACCCAGCUCACUUGACCGCUGUCUGUAACUGUCUGAGACCAGUACAACCAGUAAGAAGCUGUUUCCACGUUGCCAAAAAAUUUACGGAGCAUCCAGCCCACUUGAACACUGUCUACACCUGUCUGAGGCCAGUACAACCAGUAAGAAGCUGUUUCCACGUUGCCAAAAAGUGAUUCAUGUGAGUCAGUGUGUGCAGUGCCAGGCCAGUAAAGCUGUAAUAAAGCAGGAGCUUACUCAUCAAGGUAACCAGCCCAUUUGAAUGAAUUGGGAUGUACUUGGUUGGAAAGCUGAAAGUGACAGAACAGGGAAAUCAGUACAUCUGCGUAUUGCUUGACUACCUCACAAAAUGGCCACAAGCCUAUGCACUUAAAACCAAAAGUGCAAGUGAAGUGACGGAGUGCAUCAUAAAGUUUUGUUACCAGUUUGAAGAACCCAAAAGGAUCCUUACAGAUCAGGGCAGAGAGUUUGUUAAUGAUAUAAAUAAAAAUGUCUGCAGACUUCUGAAUAUUAAAAGGAGUUUCUGUGCUCCCUACCACCCACAGACCAAUGGGCUGGUGGAAAGGAUGAACGGAACCAUCCAAAGAGCCCUGUCAAAACUGGUGAGCAAAAAGCCAGAAGAGUGGGACAAGUACCUAGACGCUGUCAUGUUUGGACUACAUGUCACAAACAAAUUUUCACCUUUUUUUUAAUGUUUGGCCGAAAAGGAAGGUACCCCUGUCAAAUUCCUUCUGAAUACCAGGUGGACACCAGUGUGGAGCAAAACUUGUCUGUGGAGGAGUUAACUGAAGACAUCCCAAAGCUGGAUGAAGUUCUCCAGACCGCCAUCGCAAACAGCU